AAGCAUUGGUGGCUAGUGCCUGCGGAUACACCUGGGGGCACCAGGAAGUGUCCAACUCAGCACANAACAUGGCAAGAAAAGGCUUGACGGUGUGACCAGUGCUGGAGACCAGUGUAAAAUCAUGGACACCACUUUCUUGAAGGAAGAAAAGGGCACAAAAGUCUCAGCGCUUUGUUGCACAGGCCCUGUGGCAAACCAAGAGGCUCGAGAGCAAUUUAACCAGCAUGUUCAAAACCNGGGAAUACCUGCUGAAAAAAUCAAUUAUUCAUCCGGCAAAUUGGCCUGCCCAGAGACAGACUAGGUGGACCAGUGCGGAUUCAUCCGAACAUUGGAUGAAGAGCGUCCUGCUGCUUGUCCAAGCAUGUCAAGCCUUUGCUAAACUUCUGAGGCUGGGAUGAUCGUCUUAUAUUCUUUAAUAAAUAGCUUCAGAGAUUGCA
rnacentral:lncRNA from 1 species